rnacentral:piRNA from 1 species
UACUGAUGUAAGUAAGCACAAAGC